AUUGAACGCUGGCGGCAGGCCUAACACAUGCAAGUCGAGCGAGCGGCGGACGGGUGAGUAAUGUAUGGGGAACUGCCCGAUAGAGGGGGAUAACUACUGGAAACGGUGGCUAAUACCGCAUACUAUCGGAUGAACCCAUAUGGGAUUAGCUAGUAGGGGGGGUAAAGGCUCACCUAGGCGACGAUCUCUAGCUGGUCUGAGAGGAUGAACAGCCACACGGGAACUGAGACACGGCCCAGACUCCUACGGGAGGCAGCAGUGGGGAAUAUGGCACAAGGGGCGCAAGCCUGAUGCAGCCAUGCCGCGUGUAUGAAGAAGGCCUGAGGGUUGUAAAGUACUUUCAGCGGGGAGGCGUUACCCGCAGAAGAAGCACCGGCUAACUCCGUGCCAGCAGCCGCGGUAAUUC
rnacentral:rRNA from 1 species